UACGUAGGGACCGAGCGUUGUCCGGAUUCAUUGGGCGUAAAGAGCUCGUAGGCGGCUGUUCAAGUCGAACGUGAAAACUCGGAGCUCAACUCCGAGCCUGCGUUCGAUACUGGACGGCUAGAGUCUGGUAGGGGGAUCUGGAAUUCCUGGUGUAGCGGUGGAAUGCGCAGAUAUCAGGAGGAACACCGGUGGCGAAGGCGGGAUCCUGGGCCAAUACUGACACUGAGGAGCGAAAGCCAGGGGAGCAAACGGG
rnacentral:rRNA from 1 species